AGCUUUGCGCAGUGGCAAUAUUGUAGCCAAUGAGGUUUAUCCGAGGCGUGAUUAUUGCUAAUUGAAAACUUUUCCCAAUACCCCACCAUGAAGACUUGAAAUAUAGUCAGCAUUGACAAGUUUUGACAGUCUCUAUGGAGA
rnacentral:snRNA from 1 species